rnacentral:rRNA from 1 species
UACGGAGGUGGCAAGCGUUGCUCGGAAUCACUGGGCGUAAAGGGCGCGUAGGCGGGGAGGUAAGUCGGGUGUGAAAUCCCUCGGCCCAACUGAGGAACUGCGCCCGAGACUGCUUCUCUUGAGUCCCGGAGAGGAAGAUGGAAUUCCCGGUGUAGCGGUGAAAUGUGUAGAGAUCGGGAGGAACACCGGUGGCGAAGGCGGUCUUCUGGACGGUGACUGACGCUGAGGAGCGAAAGCAUGGGGAGCGAACAGG